rnacentral:rRNA from 1 species
UGGGGUAUAUUGCACAAUGGGCGCAAGCCUGAUGCAGCCAUGCCGCGUGUGUGAAGAAGGCCUUCGGGUUGUAAAGCACUUUCAGCGGGGAGGAAGGCGAUAAGGUUAAUAACCUUGUCGAUUGACGUUACCCGCAUAAGAAGCACCGUCUAACUCCGUGCCAGCAGCCGCGGUAAUACGGAGGGUGCAAGCGUUAAUCGGAAUUACUUGGCGUAAAGCGCACGCAGGCGGUCUGUCAAGUCGGAUGUGAAAUCCCCGGGCUUAACCUAGGAACUGCAUUCGAAACUGGCAGGCUAGAGUCUUGUAGAGGGGGGUAGAAUUCCAGGUGUAGCGGUGAAAUGCGUAGAGAUCUGGAGGAAUACCGGUGGCGAAGGCGGCCCCCUGGACAAAGACUGACGCUCAGGUGCGAAAACGUGGGGAGCAAACAGG